CGCGUAGGCGGCCUGCUAAGUCGAACGUGAAAUCCCUGGGCUCAACCCAGGAACUGCGUCCGAUACUGGUUGGCUUGAAUCCGGGAGAGGGAUGUGGAAUUCCAGGUGUAGCGGUGAAAUGCGUAGAUAUCUGGAGGAACACCGGUGGCGAAGGCGACAUCCUGGACCGGCAUUGACGCUGAGGCGCGAAAGCCAGGGGAGCAAACG
rnacentral:rRNA from 1 species